rnacentral:rRNA from 1 species
CCUACGGGAGGCAGCAGUGAGGAAUAUUGGUCAAUGGGCGUAAGCCUGAACCAGCCAAGUCGCGUGAGGGAUGAAGGUUCUAUGGAUCGUAAACCUCUUUUAUAAGGGAAUAAAGUGUGGGACGUGUCCUGUUUUGUAUGUACCUUAUGAAUAAGGAUCGGCUAACUCCGUGCCAGCAGCCGCGGUAAUACGGAGGAUCCGAGCGUUAUCCGGAUUUAUUGGGUUUAAAGGGUGCGUAGGUGGCCUUUUAAGUCAGUGGUGAAAGUCUGUGGCUCAACCAUAGAAUUGCCGUUGAAACUGGGAGGCUUGAGUAUGUUUGAGGCAGGCGGAAUGCGUGGUGUAGCGGUGAAAUGCUUAGAUAUCACGCAGAACCCCGAUUACGAAGGCAGCCUGCCAAGCCAUGACUGACGCUGAUGCACGAAAGCGUGGGGAUCAAACAGGAUUAGAUACCCGAGUAGUC